rnacentral:tRNA from 1 species
UGGGCUGUGGCUCAGUGGUACAGCGCUUGCCUAGCAUGUGUGAGGCACUGGGUUCGAUUCUCAGCACCACAU